CCUANGGGUGGCAGCAAUCAGGAAUUUUGCGCAAUGGACGAAAGUCUGACGCAGCAACGCCGCGUGAAGGAUGAAGGCCCUCGGGUUGUAAACUUCUUUUGUAGGGGAACAAGUUCUGAGUGUACCCUAAGAAUAAGGUGCUGCAAACUACGUGCCAGAAGCAUCGGUGAUACGUAGGCACCAAACAUUAUCCGGAUUUAUUGGGCGUAAAGAGAUGCGUAGGUGUCUUGAUAAGUCUUUUGUUAAAUCUACCGGCUCAACCGGUAAACCGCGUGAGAAACUAUCAAGAUUGAGUUGGCUCGGGGGAGACGGAAUUCUCGGUGUAGCAGUGAAAUGCGUUGAUAUCGAGAAGAACACCAAUAGCGAAGGCAGUCUUCUAGGGCUUAACUGACACUAAGGCUCGAAAGCGUGGGGAGCAAAACGGAUUAGAUACCCGGNUANUC
rnacentral:rRNA from 1 species